AGUUUUUGUAAAGAAUCUUCAGAGUUGUCAUUCUUCUCAUGUAGCACAUGCGGAUGUAUACAUAUACAGAUAUCGUUAAGCUAUAAAGCUCUAGUACACAUUGAGUAGCUCCCACGCUACGUUCGGACGUUUAUUAAAAAUAAACGCAAGGAAAAGUCUAGCCGCGUCGGUAGAACGCGCGUCUGCUACGACUGUUACAGUAGCGCGCAUGCGCGUAACCAUGGCAACGAGUUCGCAAUCGGCGAUGGCGGCGCGAGAAAAAGAUGCGACGCUCGAGCGUCGCGACUCCUCUUGCUACAGCAGCUUCGUCAAGGACUUCUUUAGUACGUCGUACGUAAACCGCGCGGCCGCGUAUGUACACAACGCAUCAAGUUAAACGAACAGUCACCGGGAGAAUCAUGUGUGGUAGCGUAAACAGUUGUAGGAUAUUAAAUAUAAAAAGCGACGGUUAAUGAUGCGGAUGAAAGUAAAGGCGGGAAAUUGUUUAAAUUGAAAACAAAAUAACAUCAACACAAUGCCAACAACACAGAAUCCAUGGGGCGAAGGACGCAAGCUGCAAUAUGAUUGUAUGAGCGACGGAUGUAUUUUCUACGUGCAGUUGGCAUCCGGUGUGACGGUAACCUCGAGGACGAAGUGAAAGUUCAUACUCAUGGAAGAAUUCGUACGUUGCUAACCCAUUUGAGGUUAUGUCCAAGAAAAUAAUAACGAUACGGUAUUGUGCAACGUUAAUAAGACCUUAUUGAGGCGAGUACAAAGAGUGAAAAGUAAUCAGGGACAGACGGAGAGAGAAAAGGAAUAGCAUAGACAGGCAGACAGUAAGACAGAGAGUGAGGGAGCUGAAUAUACACAGGACUGACUCGAGUCAAAUGUUAGCCAGUGCACGGCGAUGGAACGUCUUUAAGAGCAAGGAGGGACUUAUAUAAGAAAGCAAGAUGGCAACCGGUUGUCCCUGAGCCACGACCGGCGUUUAUUUGCGCAUUUUUAUCUAUUUUUCGAACCCGCCAAAAAACUUCGCGCAGCCAGUUUGCCGGUUCUCGCGCAGGGCUGUUCGUAAUCUAGGGUCCCAUGGGCCCGACCUGUAUAUACGCCACGUUUAUGUAUCAUGCUUAUUAAUAAAACGGCUGAAAGAUUGA